rnacentral:tRNA from 1 species
UGGAUAAAUGGCUGAGUGGUUUAAAGCAAUGGUUUGCUAAAUCAUCGUAUAAAAUUUUGUACCGUGGGUUCGAAUCCCUCUUUAUCCAG